AUACGGAGGAUGCGAGCGUUAUCCGGAUUUAUUGGGUUUAAAGGGAGCGUAGGUGGGAUAUUAAGUCAGCUGUGAAAGUUUGGGGCUCAACCUUAAAAUUGCAGUUGAUACUGGUUUCCUUGAGUACGGUACAGGUGGGCGGAAUUCGUGGUGUAGCGGUGAAAUGCUUAGAUAUCACGAAGAACUCCGAUCGCGAAGGCAGCUCACCGGGCCGGAACUGACGCUGAAGCUCGAAGGUGCGGGUAUCGAACAGGAUUAGAUACCCUGGUAGUCCGCACAGUAAACGAUGGAUACUCGCUGUCGGCGAUAUACGGUCGGUGGCCAAGCGAAAGCGUUAAGUAUCCCACCUGGGGAGUACGCCGGCAACGGUGAAACUCAAAUGAAUUGACGGGG
rnacentral:rRNA from 1 species